GUCCAAAAAUGUUUAGCCCAUGUUAAAACAGCAAGUCAAACAAGCAUUCCGUAAUCAAGCCCGCGGGGAUAUUUGACGGCAUAUAAAGAAGAAGUGGGGAGUGACAUCAGCACAUUCGGCAAGACCCACGCGGGCGCCUCCCCUGUGUGGCGAGCAAGGCGUCAUUUUAGGUUCAAGUAAACACUCGCGCUGUGUAGAAGGACUGAGUAAGAGCUCAUCAAUCUUGACGCCAAAAUCGGGGCUGCUGAAUCAACACAGGAAGCGAGGCCUCGUACGGCUUUGCUCCGUGUUAUCAUUGCUGAAGGAUCUUGAAAGGCUUUCCGGUUUACUGCACUGACUUCCGGGCCACCGUCGUCCAUGAACAAUCGAUUAAGAGAGAGAUUUAAAAACGACCUUCCUGCUAAGCCCCUCGGGCCAAACAAGCUGAAUAUUCAUCAGGUGGUUCAUAUCGAUCCGUGCUCAACGGUGGGACGUGACCCUUCUCAAAACGGCCCCGUUUUUUUUUUUUUUUUCAAACUGCUGUGAGCAAUCGCUUCCCGUCUGCGUGAGCGCGUGGAAGCUAUGUAGCCGUCAGAGGCCGGAGCGGGGACUAAAUAUAGGAAGUGAAGUCGUCUGGCUCGCUCUCAUCAUGACAUCAGAGUGUGCGACGCCUUUCCUUGUUGCCUGGACGCGGAACAGACACAGGAAAACAGAAGAAGAUCCAGGGCCAGGAUUGACUUUUGAACAAGAGGAAAGCCAAGCAAAGACACCCCCCGCCCCCAAUGUGACAACAGACAUGCUUCCCUGUCCUGUCAACAACUCGUGCACGAUUUCCGUGCAACAGCAGGAAGUCAAAACAUUCCAGGCGCAGCUGCAGGGAUGUUUUGACAAAUAGUUGUCUCUCUACGCCACAGACAUGCGCCAUCGCAUUGGAAAGGGCUUUCAAAGCAGUGCUGGGAAUUAUCCGAGUACAAAUACUUUGUUACAGUAGAUAAGAUUUUAAAAAUAGGCUUGUUAGGUUUUUUUUUUUCAAGCUCCAUAGAUGACACGACGAUAAAAUGACAUCAAUAGAAAGUGGCUGAGAUUGUGAUCUGAUGAAAAACCCCGGACAGCGAGAUGUUCUCUACUGAUCUGUUCUCUAUUGAAGAGAAAAAGGGUGGCAGCUAUUGAUGCUAAUCAAGCUAGCUCUUGAAUAAAAUCUAAUUAAAUUCUUCCUCAGACUCGGUACGCUUUUACUUUUAUGUAACGGUGUCAAAUGACUACUUCUAUUUUGCUAGAGUUCUUUUUUAACACAAGUAUCAAUACGUGUGAGUGUGAGAAUUAAAGUUGAGCAUUAAUAGAUACUGACCUUUGACCUACAGCUAGUGUUACCCCAGAGUCAUGAAACAGACUUAAAUAGCGGCGGCUUUUAUGUCUGUCUGACAGCAAAAACCUGCAUCACAUGUUCAUCCUUGCUAUAAGUGUAAAUAUUGACUGCCACAAAAAAAAACAAAAAAAAACGAUUGUAGGGAUUUACCAAAGACAACUGAACCGUCCAUUAAGCAGUUCUUAUUGCCUUGUGGUCCCAUAAAAUUGAUCAAAAGCGUUAGACUAUGCUCUCAUGCAGGCCUCGGGCUGUUGACGUACCAUCCAAAAGUAGACUUUGUUCAUUAUUGACCUGUCCAAACGUGUCAAAGUGACUGAAAAAGAAAAAACAAGAAGCUGUGACUGACACAGAUGAUUGUUUCCUUUUAUGGAUGUGCAUCAUUAAGUGGUAAAUUAAGAUGAUGCAACUAACCACGGGGAUGGAAAAUGCGCACGAAGCAAUUUUAAAUGGAAUACUGUUAUUAUGUCUGAUUCUCGUUUGUCACUUUUGCUAAAACACAAAUGAAAGUGUGGGGAGUUCACUGCUGGGAAACUGACCAUCUAAAGUUUAAAGAGGAAAUAAAAUGAUGCAUACUAGAGAAGUCGACUACUUUAUCAGAUAGGAACUGGUUCAUUGGCAAAAAAAAAAAAAAA